rnacentral:misc_RNA from 1 species
AGUCGUAACAAGGUCUCCGUUGGUGAACCAGCGGAGGGAUCAUUACUGAGUUGCAAAACUCCCAAACCCAAUGUGAACCUUACCUACACGUUGCUUCGGCGGACCCGCCCCGGCGCUUCGGCGACCGGACCCAGGCGACCGCCGGGGGAAAACACAAACCCUUUGUAUUACACAGUGAAUCUUCUGAGUAAAAAAAACAAAUGAAUCAAAACUUUCAACAACGGAUCUCUUGGCUCUGGCAUCGAUGAAGAACGCAGCGAAAUGCGAUAAGUAAUGUGAAUUGCAGAAUUCAGUGAAUCAUCGAAUCUUUGAACGCACAUUGCGCCCGCCGGUAUUCUGGCGGGCAUGCCUGUCCGAGCGUCAUUUCAACCCCUCGAGCCCCCGGGCCCGGUGUUGGGGAACGACCAGCAGCCCUCCGGGGCGGUCGUCCCUGAAAUACAGUGGCGGUCACGUCGCGGACCCUCUGCGUAGUAGCAACACCUCGCACUGGAGAGCGGCGCGCCCACGCCCCGAAACACUUCUUUCACAGGUUGACCUCGGAUCAGGUAGGAAUACCCGCUGAACUUAAGCAUAUC